UGGCCUUUUUCUUUCAGCCCCUUAGAAAUGUGCCCCAUCUCCUGAGAGCCUAUGUUUUGUGCAGUAUAUAAUUGUGUUUGAGUAGAAGAGAAUAUCUUGACGACAGCUCCAGAAGUGGAAGCAUCUUUUCACUACCUUGACCCCCUUAAUUAAUCACAAUUUGACACAGUACAUGGUUUUUGUUUAUUUAUUUUAUGUCUUCCCCAACUAAAAUGCAGGCCCCAGGAGAGCAGGGAUUUUGGCUGAUUGGUUCAUUGCAAUAUCCCUUGUGCCUAGAAUAACAUCUUGCAUACAUAUAGUAGAUAUUCAAUUCAUAUUGUUGACUACAAGAAUAAGGACUCCUUUAAGUGGGUUCAAGCCAAGGAGGUUAUUUUAAGAAUUCGCAUGGAGAGAUGGGACCUCUCAAGACAAUUCAAGGACAGGAGGAGCUGCUGGGCUGGGCUACACAAGGCUGGGACGCAGUGGCUGCUUCUGAAUCUAAGGUGGUUCUGGGUUUGGGUCAGGUGUUCAACCUCUGACCCAAUCCACUAUGGCAGGUCAAGAAGAUGGCCAGGUACAAUAACACAUGGAAGCUGGCCAGCAGGGAUGAAGUAGUUUCCUCUAGAAGGGGCCAUGGUUGGGGCACAUAUGAAGACUGUGAAAUUCAGAACAAUCUCUGAGAGUGAAACUGUGAAGAAUCAACAUUUGAUGGAAUAAAUAAACAUCAUGAGAAGGCAGAAACCCACCCUGAGUGACGGCAAAACACCCAAGUCCAAUCAAGGGAAGGAGGCAGUAGUUUCAGGAAGACGUGAUUAUGCUGAAUAAAGUUGCAGCCUAAUCAAUUAUAUUGAACCACGUUCCAAGUGGUCAAUCAGGAAACAAGAAGUGUCUGUGUUUCUUCUUGCCCUUGCCCCAGGGGAGAGAGACCAGUGCACAGGGAGCAAGGUGUUAAGUUGAGCCAGCUAGUCUAAUAAAGUAGACAGACUGUAAUGAAACAAUGACUCUCAUGCCUAAACUAACUGGUGCUGAGGGUUAUGAAGGAAGAGAAUAGGGAACCAUGAGAGCUUAGAACAGAGGGUUUAAUCUAGGCUGGGGGGGAUCAGAAAAGGCUGCUUAGGGGACAUGAACUUUGGCAGCUUGGAAACUUGACAGGCAAAAGUUGGGAAUGGAUAAAGUGUUACUGAUGCCCUGGGGUUGUUUGCUGUCCUUCAGACAUACGUGUUCAGCACUUUUCUGCCUUGGGGCUUUGCCUUGGCUGUUCCCUCUGCCUGAAAAACCCUUUCUCCGGAUAAUCUGAUAGCUCACUUUGUGCUCAAAGAUCUGGUCCCUGGCAUUCUAGCUAGCACAGCACCCCCUGACAUUCUGCACUCCUUUCUCUGAUUGAUGCUUUUUCUUAGCAUUUACCCACCCUGUGAUUUUGUGUUAUAUAGUGAUUCAUUUAUGAUCUGUCUUCCCUUCCCUAAGCUUCAUGCAGGCAACAGUUUUGUCUUUUGUUCACUAUUAUAUAUCCACCCCAGUGUCCAGUACAUAAUUUGCCUCAAUAAAUAUAUAUUCAAAUAUUAAAUUAAAAGAGCAAGGUACAUCUAGGAACAGAAGGGAGGCCAGUAUGGUCAGACUUUAAUAAGCAAGAGGGUGGAUGGUAAGAGAAGAGGAGAGAUAGGUAGACAGGGGCUAGAGCAUCGUAAGACAAUAUGGACUUUAAGAGUUUAAGCCUCAUUCUAUGAGCAAUGGAAAGCCACCAAAGCUUUUAAAUAAUGGGAGUAUUGGGAUGGAAUUUCCAUUUUAAAAGACCUUUCUGGCUUCUGUGGGAAGACUAGAUCAUUGGAGGUAAGGGAGUGUGGAGAGAUGGAGACACAUUUGGAGGCUAGUGUAGUUUCUCAGCCUGGAGAUGGUGGUGCCUAGGACUAGGGUGGUGAUGGUGGAGGUGAGGAGAAGAGGUGAAUGCAAAUGAUGUUAAUGAGACAGAAUCAGUGGGAGGUGGGAAUAAAUUUUGAUACAGAGAGUGAGAGACAAGGAGGGGUCAGGGAUCAGUCCUAGGUUUCUGACUUAUGAAACUGAUGGGUGGUGGUCCAUUUGCUAAAAUGGAACUUUGGAGAAGGAGGCGUAUAAGGGCAGGAGAGGGCUGGAGAGAGUUGGAAAAAUCAGACCACACCAGGCCCUGAGAUAUUGGAAUUUAAGAUUUAGAACAUGGGGCAGAUCUAGGGGAUGGCCAUAACUAUAGAUAAACUUGAGAUUUGGUGGAUUGAUUCACUCAGAAAUAUUUAUUAAACAUCUACUAUGUUUCAGGCACCAUAUGGGCCCUGGGCUUGGCCUACAAGAAUGCAAAAAAAGUCCUUGCCCUUAACUGGGAGAGUCAUAUUGAACUUCUGUACAUUAAAACAAUCUGUAACUCCAGAUAGUAAGAAGAAAAACAAAGCAGAGUAAAGGGACAAAGAGCAGAGCGUAUCUCAGGCAGGUUGGAUGGCGAAGGCCUUUCUGAAGGUAACAUUUGAACACAGAUGUGUGAGAUGAGAAGCAGCCAUUCACACACAAAUCUGUGGGAAGUGCAAUUCCUGGUCAAGGACACAGUGAGUGCAAAAGCCCGAGGUGGGAAAAGCUUGACGUGCUUAAGGAAUAGCAGGAAGGCCGGCACAGCAGAAAGUGAGUGGUAGAGGAGCACUUGUAGAAGAAAAGUUAGCAGUAGGCAAGGAACAGGUAAAUGAAAAAAUGCUCAACAUCACUAAUCAUUGGGGAAAUGCAAAUUAAACUAUAGUAUCACCUCGUACCUCUUAGAAUGGCUAUUAUCGAUAAGAUUAAAGAUAAGCGUUGGCAAGAUUGUGGAGAAAAGAAACCCUUACAGACUGUUGGUGGGAAUGAAAAUGAGUACAGCCAUUAUGGAAAACAGCAAGGUAGUUCCUCAAAAUAUUAAAAAUGGAACUACCCCAUGAUCCAGCAGUCCCAUUGCUGGGUACACAUAUAGCCAAAGCAUGUGAAAACAGGAUGUGGAAGAGCUGUCUACACUCCCAUGUUCACUGCAGCCUUAUCCACAGCGGCCGAGACGUGGAAUCAACCUAAGUGUCCACCAGUGGAAGAACGGAUAAAGACAAUGCGGGAUUUGUAUACACAGCGGAAUGUUAUCCAGCCUUUAAAACGAAGGAGCUCCUGUCAUUUUUGACAACAUGGAUGAACCUGGAGGACAUUAUGCUAAGUGAAAUAAGCCAGGCACAGAAAGACAAACACUGCAUGAUCUCACACAUACACGGAAUCUAAAAGAUUGAAGUCACAGAAGCAGAGUAGAACGGUGGUUACCAUGGCCUGGGGCUGUUGGGUAGGAGGAUUGGGGAGAUGCUGGGAAAAGGAUAUGACAUUUCAGUUAGACAGGAAGAAUAUGUUCAAGAGAUCUGUUGUACAACACGGUGACUAUAAUUAAUAACAAUGAAUACGUAGUAUCCUGGGAGUUGGAGUCAUAAACCGCUCCAGAAGUGAGCUUGAAUGAUGCUGAAGGUCGGAACACUCUGGAAAUGAACACGCAGCUGAGUCCCCCGUGAGCGAGGCCAACUGUGUAACUGAAAGGGCUCUGGAUGAACCUCCGUGAAGAAUACAAUGUUCAUUAAGGGACAAGCAAUCAAAAAGGACUAAUUUGAACAUACAUUAUAUGCACAUAUAUAUAUAUUAAAACUCAAGAGUGACUACAA